rnacentral:rRNA from 1 species
AACGAACGCUGGCGGCAUGCCUAACACAUGCAAGUCGAACGAGACCUUCGGUUCUAGUGGCGCACGGGUGCGUAACGCGUGGGAACCUGCCCUUAGGUUCGGAAUAACUCCCCGAAAGGGGUGCUAAUACCGGAUAAUGUCUUCGGACCAAAGAUUUAUCGCCUUUGGAUGGGCCCGCGUUGGAUUAGCUAGUUGGUAGGGUAAAAGCCUACCAAGGCGACGAUCCAUAGCUGGUCUGAGAGGAUGAUUAGCCACACUGGGACUGAGACACGGCCCAGACUCCUACGGGAGGCAGCAGUGGGGAAUAUUGGACAAUGGGCGAAAGCCUGAUCCAGCAAUGCCGCGUGAGUGAUGAAGGCCUUAGGGUUGUAAAGCUCUUUUACCCGGGAUGAUAAUGACAGUACCGGGAGAAUAAGCUCCGGCUAACUCCGUG